rnacentral:ribozyme from 11 species
CAAACAAACAAAAAGAAAAAUUAGCAACAAAUUAAUUCAAAAAAAGAAAAAGAUAAUAUAAAAAAAAAGAAAAGUUAUUUUAUUUUAUUGAUUUUAAAGUUUGUCAUAGUAAUUUUCUACCCCUGGAAUUUCUUCUUUUAAGCCUUUUCGUUUUCGAAUACCUGAAACAAGUUCUGAGGUUU